GGAAGAUAAACAGCUCAGACUUGGCCAACUGUUCUCCAAGGCACAUCCGCUUUCCUGGAAGACAAAAACAUGAGACAGGGACAUGUCUACACCAAUGAGAGAAGAAUGCAAACGCUAGUUAGCCAGGACCAUACCCAGUCAACCCAGCCGCUCGGUGAAGUGAUAACUGUGGCAGCUCUACCCAGGUGGAACCAUUCUGAUUCUGUCAACCAUUCCUCAUGGAAUUCCAUCAUCUUUACCACUUUCCCCCAGAAGCUUCAAUUUGCCAAUAAUCCUCUCAAUGUGUGGCU